rnacentral:snRNA from 1 species
AGCUUUGUGCAGUAUCAUAGCCAAUGAGGUUUAUCCGAGGCUCAAUUAUUGCUAAUUGAAAAAAAAUUAUUUCUAUGUUAUAUUUUUAAGCAACUGUGAAAGAGGCUGUUUUCU